rnacentral:tRNA from 1 species
GCGGGCGUAGCUCAAUGGUAGAGCUUCAGUCUUCCAAACUGACGGUGCCGGUUCGAUUCCGGUCGCCCGCUCCA